UACGUAGGGCGCAAGCGUUGUCCGGAAUUAUUGGGCGUAAAGAGCUCGUAGGCGGUUUGUCGCGUCUGUCGUGAAAGCUUGGGGCUUAACCCUAAGUCUGCGGUGGAUACGGGCAGACUAGAGGCAGGUAGGGGAGAACGGAAUUCCCGGUGUAGCGGUGAAAUGCGCAGAUAUCAGGAAGAACACCCGUGGCGAAGGCGGCUCUCUGGGACGGUACUGACGCUGAGACGCGAAAGCGUGGGGAGCGAACAGG
rnacentral:rRNA from 1 species